AGCAGAGAGAAGCCGUGUGGACUGUUUUGGAAGAGGGAAUUUUGGAUUUUACAAGUUAGAGGCUCUUGGGGAUUGCUGGAGACCUAGGGGUAAGGGGAGAAUUGGCAGAAAAGGAGGUAGAGGCUUUGAUGGCUCUUGAUUAGAACCCCUGAGGGAGAGGGAAGUAUAGAUUCAAAUCCUCUUUAAUUCCUAUUUGGCAGCUGGACUGGUACUCCUUAAACAUAGAGUUGAGAGCACAGGAGAUCAGCAUGUAUUUGGGUCUCACAAAUAAAAGUAGAGACUUGACUGCCCCGUGGUAUAACUUGUCCCUUUCUUCUGAGAAAGCGAUCCAAAUGAUGCAAAGACCAUUGAUUCAAAGAAACAUGGAUGAGAAGCCAUAGCUCUAAGAAGCAAAACUCUCCGGUGGGACAUUGGAAAUGUGCUCUCUGUGAUUCACUCUGAGAUGCUUAAAGGGUUUGUUUUAGCAGCAGCACCAUCUUUCUCUGUAUUUGUAUUAGAUGGAGCUUAUCUCUGCAAACCAUGUUGUUUCUUUCAGAGAAGUUCCUCUUUCUACACGCAUGCGCGUGCGCGUGCGCGCGCGCACACACACGCACACACACACGAGUUGUAACUUACCACAGCCGUAGAAAAGAGAAUGUCCAGGAUAGCUUGAAAGUUAAGGAAAGAUCUCAAGGACCAUUGAUUUAGGAAAACUAACUCCAGGGACGUUCGUUUCACCAGCCACUUUCUCCUUCCCUCCACAACAGGUGAGGGAAGAAAUUUAAGUUCUGCUUACAAAUGAGGUGAGAGUUCAUUUAAUCCAUUCACCGUGACCAAAGUUACAAAGGGCUCUCUGGUUAUUAAGCAUUCAGUUAUUUUUUCUUGUUUUCAAAAAUUGAUUUUUUUUUUGGUCUAAGAAAGUAAAUAAAGCCUAUUUCUUUCAAUCUUUCAAAAUAUUGCAAUGAGAUUAUUUGAGCUCCUGUUCUGGUAAAAUCAUCACUUCUUCAAAGAUGAUUUCUUGCAAUUGUCUCAUUAUUUACAUGGUCAGAGAGGUUACUUAAAGAGUAGCCCUUUAAAACCUGGAGCAUUGAGAGAGAACCACAAACAGCCCUAUACCAUGAAAAAUCCUAUUUAUGUGGGAGGGAAAUUUUCUUAAACUUCAGUUUUUAAAUCUGUUUGGGACAUUAAAUCUCUCCACCUCCCACUCUCUCCUCCCUCACUGACUUCUGAGGAACAACAACCACCAAGAAAAAAAAUAAAACACUGUGUUUUGAAUUCCAUUAUGUUUCCAAACUUCCAAGUCAGAGGAAAUUGUUUAAAAUGACUUACCCCACACAAAUACACGGAAGGAGGAAUGGAAGAAUAACUUGCCAGCUCACAAGAUCACUUUUCUCUACUAACCACCCACUUUUGCUGACCUGACAAAUUAAAAGUAUGUAAUUUCCUCACAGCAUUUCCGACAUAUUUUAGUGAUAUUUUGUAAGAGUUAAGAGAAUUCUGUUUGCUCUUCUUACACAGGCCUCUUGGACUUUGGUUCCUUGAACAGGAUCCUAAGCUUGGAAACUCUCCAAGUGACAGAAAAUUGGCAGGUUCUUCAUCGUUGAUUCCUUACUGGCUCUUUGGAGAGGAAAGGAGUUCUGCUCAGGACUUGGCCGAGCCCUUUGCUUGGCACCUUAGCCAGUAACUCAAAGUUCAAGGAACUUGACAGACAGAGGCUGUUUUUCUGGUGAAAGAUUUGAACGUGCCCAUUUGAGUCUGUCAUCGCACGUCUGCAUCUUGUCUCCUUCCAGAGGAUGCUUAUUUCUGACCAGGCUCAUGAUGGGUGUAUUCUAUGUGGGAAGACUUUUGCCUGCCCCUGCGGCAUUUACCUUGGAUCAGGAGCGCUUAUAGGUGACCUCUCCAUGUGGCUUGAGCCUGUCACAGCAUGGUGGCUGGAUUCUGGGAGUCAGCAUUCCAGGAGUGAGCUUUCUAAGAGGAAAAAAUGAGGAGCUGUCAUACAAAAAAAGAGUCCUCCCAUUCAUCUCAGAUCCUCCUCACCUAUACGUGCCACUUGGACCUCAUUUUCUGGCAAACUACCGUGGGCUCACCAGCUUCGGCUCCAGUUUUCAGAGCCAUGUGAUGAGACUUCCCUCCUUCAUCACAGACUGUUUGGCACCGAUCCCAGCCAGGGUGAGCUUCUACUGCUGCAGAAUCAGAAAGGAAAGGGGACAUUUUUAGCAUGGAGACUAUGAUGGUUAAUACUGACUGUCAACUUGAUUGGAUUGAAGGAUGCAAAUUAUUGUUCCUGGGUGUGUCGUUGGAGGUGUUAGCAAAGGAGAUUAAUCUUUGAGUCAGUGGACUGGGAGAGGCAGACCCACCGCAGUCUGGGUGGGCACCAUCUAAUCAGCUGCCAAUGCAGCUAGAAUAAAUCA